AUUGGAAUUCUGAUUGGGAUUGCGUUGAAUCUGUAGAUUGCUUUAGGUAAUAUGGACAUUUUAACUAUGUUUAUUCUGCCAAUCCAUGAGCAAGUAAUACCUUUGCAUUUCUUUAUCUCUUGUUCAUUUCU